rnacentral:rRNA from 1 species
CUGGUUGAUCCUGCCAGUAGUCAUAUGCUUGUCUCAAAGAUUAAGCCAUGCAUGUCCAAGUACAAGCCUCACUAAGGUGAAACCGCGAAUGGCUCAUUAAAUCACACCUAAUCUACUGGAUAGUUAACGGGUACUUGGAUACCUGCGGUAAUUCUGGAGCUAAUACAUGCGAAAAGCCUCGAACUUACGUGAGAGGUGCUUUUAUUAGAUCAAAACCAAUCGGCUUCGGCUGUACUCUUGGUGACUCUGAAUAACUUUGGGCUGAUCGUAUAGCCUUGCGCUGACGACAUAUCCUUCGAAGGUGUGCCCUAUCAACUGUCGACUGUGGCAUAGACGCCCACAGUGGUUUUGACGGGUAACGGGGAAUCAGGGUUCGAUUCCGGAGAGGGAGCCUUAAAAACGGCUACCACAUCUAAGGAAGGCAGCAGGCACGCAAAUUACCCAAUGAUCGAAGAUCGAGGCAGUGACGAAAAAUAACGAUCCAGGACUCAUCCGAGGCCCUGGAAUCGGAAUGAGUACACUUUAAAACCGUCCCCGAGGAUCUAUUGGAGGGCAAGUCUGG